rnacentral:misc_RNA from 1 species
UACGGAGGGUGCAAGCGUUGUUCGGAAUUACUGGGCGUAAAGAGCGCGUAGGCGGUUUGUUAAGUCUGAUGUGAAAGCCCUCGGCUCAACCGGGGAAGUGCAUUGGAUACUGGCAGGCUAGAGUGUGAGAGGGGGACGUGGAAUUCCAGGUGUAGCGGUGAAAUGCGUAGAUAUCUGGAGGAACACCGGUGGCGAAGGCGGCGUCCUGGAUCACAACUGACGCUGAGGCGCGAAAGCAUGGGGAGCAAACAGG